rnacentral:rRNA from 1 species
GGCUCAGGACGAACGCUGGCGGCGUGCCUAACACAUGCAAGUCGAGCGAGGAGAUCCUCGGGAUGAUCCUAGCGGCGGACGGGUGAGUAACACGUGGGCAACCUGCCUCAUAGAGAGGAAUAGCCUUCCGAAGGGGAGAUUAAUACCUCAUAACAUUGCAGUUUCGCAUGGAACAGCAAUUAAAGGAGUAAUCCGCUAUGAGAUGGGCCCGCGGCGCAUUAGCUAGUUGGUGAGGUAAUGGCUCACCAAGGCGACGAUGCGUAGCCGACCUGAGAGGGUGAUCGGCCACAUUGGGACUGAGACACGGCCCAGACUCCUACGGGAGGCAGCAGUGGGGAAUAUUGCACGAAUGGGGGAAACCCUGAUGCAGCCAACGCCGCGUGAGUGAUGACGGCCUUCGGGUUGUAAAGCUCUGUCUUCAGGGACGAUAAUGACGGUACCUGAGGAGGAAGCCACGGCUAACUACGUGCCAGCAGCUGC